CCUAGGAAAUUGCCCUGAUGUGGGGGAUAACCAUUGGAAACGAUGGCUAAUACCGCAUGAUGCCUACGGGCCAAAGAGGGGGACCUUCGGGCCUCUCGCGUCAGGAUAUGCCUAGGUGGGAUUAGCUAGUUGGUGAGGUAAGGGCUCACCAAGGCGACGAUCCCUAGCUGGUCUGAGAGGAUGAUCAGCCACACUGGAACUGAGACACGGUCCAGACUCCUACGGGAGGCAGCAGUGGGGAAUAUUGCACAAUGGGCGCAAGCCUGAUGCAGCCAUGCCGCGUGUGUGAAGAAGGCCUUCGGGUUGUAAAGCACUUUCAGUCGUGAGGAAGAUGGUAUUGUUAAUAGCUGUAUCAUUUGACGUUAGCGACAGAAGAAGCACCGGCUAACUCCGUGCCAGCAGCCGCGGUAAUACGGAGGGUGCGAGCGUUAAUCGGAAUUACUGGGCGUAAAGCGCAUGCAGGUGGUUUGUUAAGUCAGAUGUGAAAGCCCGGGGCUCAACCUCGGAAUAGCAUUUGAAACUGGCAGACUAGAGUACUGUAGAGGGGGGUAGAAUUUCACGUGUAGCGGUGAAAUGCGUAGAGAUCUGAAGGAAUACCGGUGGCGAAAGGCGGCCCCCUGGACAGAUACUGACACUCAGAUGCGAAAGCGUGGGGAGCAAACAGGAUUAGA
rnacentral:rRNA from 1 species